CGGCCCGCCCCGCCCCGCCCCGCCUGCCGCCGCGCCGAGAAACCUCCUGCGCCCCGCCCCGGGGUGUCCCCGCGUGAGUCACCUGGGCAUUUCGGAAGCUGGGCCCAACGUCACAUCCAUGUGGAAAUCGCAGUGAUGGGAAGUGGAAAUGAAAUAGGUUCUUUUUCGCAGCCGUUUUUCUGCAGAAAAUCAUCAACUGUGGAGAAGAAGAAGGGAAAUAAGAAAGAAAGAAAACCCUAAAAACCACCAGGCCUCCUGGACCACAGGCCUCGGGCAGAAUUUGAAAAGUUUGAGCUGCGCACGUGAUGAGCUCGGAGGGGGAGUCCUAGCCAGGGCCCCGGUGGGGAUUUCUAGAGAAAGAAGCAGUACAACCCGGGACCCCAGCCUGGGUGGGGUGCAGGUCCGAGGAGACAGGCGACCCCGUGGUCCUGCGGGGUCCGGGGCUUCGGGGUCGAGGCCAGUCUUGGACAGAGUGAGGAGUCAGAACGACCCCCACCCUUAUCCCCGCGCUUGCUCCAUUUCCUCUUCUCUAUUUCUGCACACCACGCGCCCAGGUGGCAUCACAUUAAAUAGCAUUUCAGUUUAGAAAGCGCUUCCCUAGUCUGGUUACGUGUUUCCUUGCGUUGUGUUUCCAAGGCUCAUUUAUUAGGUGUGUUUUUAGCUGUCCUGAUAAUUAGUUCACCCCCGGGAUGCUAACGGCUGCUAAUACUUUGUGCCUCCUGCUCCCAUCCCCCAUGUGCUCUUGGCUUGGUGAUGCACUGCUCAGCCUUCAUCUGGACGGUGAGUCACGGGGAAAUGGGAGCCGACCACCUGGGCGGUGGAGGUGCUGGAGCUGUGGAGGGAGGGGCCUUAGGGCGCUCUUACUGCCUUGCUGCCCUCUAAGCACCGGCUCCCUUUUGGACCAUCUACUAGAAUGGCUAAGCUGGAAGCAGAUUGUAAUAGCCUGUACUAUUGUCCCCUUACGUAUGCUUAGGAAUUCUUGUCAGGUUUAUAUUGCAAGGUGUGAAUUAGAAAAGGAUGACACUGUCUGUACUGAGGACCUGCAGAGACUGGGUGGGGACUGGAUGGAGGGUGGCACUUUUUUGGCAAAGGGAGGUUUAGAGAAGAGAGUCGAUAGUGGCUACUGGCCCAAGGCUAGUCCUGGUCUUUUUAAACCCAUAGCUGGAUUUUUUUCCGGCUCCAAAUCUUUUGUUAUUUGUUCUCUUCUCCUUCGCAGAUGUUUCAGCUGUCAACACUCAAACAAUGGGUAGUCAACUUGGUAAUAUAAAAUGACAUUUAUCAGGUACUUACUAUAUGCUUAUAUGUGCUUUUUUAAAAUUUCAAAAUAUUAAGGAGGUACACAUAUUUUUGUUACAUGGAUACCUUUUACAAUGCUUAAGUUGGGGCUUUUAGUGUGCCUAUCACCUGAGUAGAACAGUGUUCAUUGAACCCGAUAGGUAGGUUUUUUACCCCUUCUUCCCUCCCCCUCUUUCUUAAUUUCCAGUGACUUUCGCAUCUCUUUGUGCCCGUGUGUGACCAUCAAUUAGCUUUAUGUAUGCAUUUAUAUGAAGCUUAAGAAGCUUAAGGCAUUUGCCCAAAGUCUACACAACCAGAAAGUGGCAGAGCCACCUGUGGAAUUAGUGCAGUUUGGGUUCUCCAUAGUCCUGCCUCCUUGGCACUCCUCUCCCCCCAUCGCCAUUAGAAAGGGAUUUGGCUUUCAUUCUUUCAGGGACCUGUUUUCUUGGACUGGUUAAUAAGGUAAGGCACUAAAGAGAAGACCAGAAAAGAAGAGGUAUUGCUUUUAAAAUUUCAGUCCCCAAAUGUACUACUAAUUGUCUUUAAGUAAAACUCCAUUCAUUGAAGAAGAAAAUAAUCUGCCUCUAAAUAAGAAAGUAUGUCCCUGAAAAGAACCAGACCAAUCAUUUUCCUCUUUCUUGAAUGAAUAAACAUCAGCAAGGAAGAGACACACAGUCCCUCUGCCGAACUAUAUUGAAUAUUAGAACUUGCAGAGAUCUUGGAAACCAUGAAAACUGAUGAUUUUCAAACUACAUUCUACACAAGAUUCCCAGAGUUCCUCCGAGAUGACAUGAAGCUCAUCCCCAAGGCCAUCCAGGAUGGAAAAUGGAGCAUUCUCAAAAGAAAGCAGACCGGAUGGUGACAAGAUUCAAAACAGUGUCACUCUAGAGACAGUUCCAGGCGAUCCUGAUACUACUGCUCUGGGGACCACACUUUGAGAGCCACUGCUUUGACAAAACGGAUUAAUUUUCAACAUUAAAAAGAACUUCGUAACACUCACUGUUCCAGGAGAAUCUGCUUAAGGUGAUCUAAAUGAAAGAGUCAGAGUCCUUUGCCAAGCCAAUAUUUAGCUGCUGGUUUGUAUUUAUGGAUGACCUUAUUUCACUGGCCUCAAGAGUACACAUUAUAAAAUUCCCCAUGUAUCCAUUUAAGUUUUUUCUUUUGUAAUUGAGAUUUUAUUGGCUGUGUUGGGGAUCAGUACACAGACAUUUCAAUUUGUACACAGUUAUUAGCAUAUAUACCAAAAAUCUAAAAGCCAUAUAUUGUAAUUCUUUUUUAAGUAGUUAUUCCAGUGACUUUUCCAGCUUAAAAUUUGGAGGUAAAUUUUCUUUGAAAGGGUAUCAAGUUCCAGUAUCUUCAACUGUUAAUAAACUGUUACAUAAGUCCCACCAAUUCAAAAUUUAUUAGCAUAUAUACAUUUUCAAUCCUUCACAUUAAUAAAGUUAUUAGGAGAACAGGGCUGCCAUGACCAAAGAUGUCACAGAGUGUGCACAAUUCUGGCAGGGAGAGCCAUGACCCAGGAGUGGUUUUCUUUAAGAAACAAUUCUACUAAAAAACAACAUGAAAAUAGAAAUAAUUUUAAAUGUUCAAGACAUUAAAUGCAGGACCAUGGCUAUAUUGCCAGACCAUGACUAUAUUGCCAUGUAGUGUGUUUUAUACUAUAGGAUAUAAAGACCAACCCCUGUCUAUGAAAUGUUAAGCUGACACCCAUGACAGUCAAAGCCUUCCAUAAUUCAAAAUGCCACACUCUCUCUGGUUGUACAAAAAUAAAACCAACCAGCAAAUGAUUUCACUUCUUUAAAAAGUGCAUUUACAGUGAAAAAAAUAGAGUGAGGUGGGAUUCCUCCUUCUUAAAAAUGGGAGCUACUACAAAACUUUCACUGGCAAAAUACUUGAUAAAAAUAUUCCUUUGGAUUGUACAAGAAGGCACACGUGAGCCACUGAUAAGACAUGGUAAACAGCAUUCGUCAGACGCGGCCUCUUUCUCUCCUGGUUCAUCAAAGGCUGGCUCACCUCAGUUUUAGUCCCUUCAUUUUCUGCAGGUAAAUCUUUGGUUUCUUGGUUAGCCACUUUGGCCUGUUUUCCCUUUCUCUGCUCCCCCUUUUUUCCCUUUUGUUUGCACUCUUUCUGUCUGCAGAUUUAUCCUCUCCGGCUGCCAUUUUUGGCUUCAUUUCCACUUUUGCAGGAGCAGGUUUAGCUGACAACUGCACCAAUCUCCGUUUGGGCUCUUCUCUCACCGCCCCGUUGGGAGGGAGAGCACACGCUGGUGUCUGCACAGCGCCCCAAGAGCCUUGGAGAAGCUGGGCUACUUGGCGGCUGCCGCUCUUCCCUCAGCCUGAGCUCCCGCUGAAGGGUUAUUGUGUCCCGGGAGCACUGUGUGCUCACAGCAAGCCGGCGGGGAUGGAAGUGAGAAGUGAGAACUCUCUGGACACGCAUGUGCACCAUUCAGACAGCAUUCACGCCAUUUCCCUGACUCGGCUCUAGGUCCCCUCAGCCUUUUGGGUGUUGGGUGCUUAUGGUCCCUGCUAUGGUGCCCAGCAUGGUUCAAGAUCACAGCAGGCACCUCUGGCAAGGUAGAUAGUGACUCAAGGGCAAACUAAACACCCAUGGACAGUGGAUUACAGUAUAUUGUAGUAGAUUGGUUUGGACCAUUUAUCUUUUUUUUUUUUGAAGUGACUUACCUGUACAUAUGUGGGAGAUAAGUGAGGAAGUUAGAUGCACUCCUAGGGCUUGGCACUGGUCUACGUGACAGCUGUAAGGGAGGAGCUUAGAUGCCAGAUCCAUCUCAAUCCAGGCAGGCCCUUGCAGGGGAUCAGACUGCAAGGUCAAAUGUGAAACUCAAAAUCUUAAGAAAAAGACUCUCAUCAUCUGCACCUUUCUCUUCCUAAAUUGAGCAGCAAUUCUGGAAACGGAGUGCUUAGACCUUAAAUAGCAUCCCUGGGGUACCAGGCAUUGUUCUAAUGAUCUCAUUUCACCCUCACAGAGGCCCUGGGAAGGUAAAUAACUUGCCAAAGCUUAAGCAGUUUGGAGUAGAGUUAGGAUUCCAAUCUGGGUUGUCUGGCUCCAGAGCCCAUGUUCUAAGCCAGUGGGCUCUCCUGUCUCUCUUGGAGAGGACCCAAUCUUGGCUAGCUGGCUAGUCCCAGAGACCUCCAUGACUGUCAAAGGUCUAGAACUAGAAUGUCCCAUCAUUUAUCCAUAUUUCUAUUUCUCCUGCUUUCUACAUGACUACCCCAUCACCACCAGCAACUGGUAAAUAUGGGUUGAACUUUUGUUCUAUGCCAGGCAUUACAGAUGCAAAGAUAAAAAAGAGACCGUAAUCCUGCCUUCAGGAACUAUAGGGAAGAUAGACAUCGAGGCAAAUCCGUCUACAAAAUCCCAAAUGGGUUGUAGCCAAAGGGGCCAAAAGAAAAAGCUGUUGUGGCCAGAUGGGCAGGGACCCACCUUGCCUUAGGGACAAGGACUCCUGUCCAUUCUUAUUUAGUUUUCUCCUGAUUACUUCCCUGAUUUCUCUUACUGACAACUGACACAUCUCAAUGGCAGAGAUUUGAAGUGCUCUCGACAAGGUGCUGAGAUGUUCAGAAGGCAAGUUUUCUGUAUCCAACAAACAAUUUAUAGAAGAAUAGAGGCUUUAAUCUCUAACCCAGCAGAUGCUAUGUCUACUUCUUUCCCCCAAGAAAGAGGACAUUUAUAUUUACUUUGUUCCUUCUUCCAAGGCAGGAAUUUUGUGUUCCAGAAGCAAGAUCUUUUGGCAGCCUUGCCCUUUUUGUAUCCUAGUCUACUGCAAUAACAAACAACAGUUGCUGAGGCGUUGUUGUUGACGUAUUACCUUUGAAAACUCCCUCGUGUCAUAGGGCAAGCCUCUUCCACAUGACAGAUCAUUAUCUUCUGGUCCUACAGGCAGCCUUGUUGCCAUGGAGACCCAAAGGGAUCAGGUAUGUUGUUAGCCUGCAUCACUCCGGCUGGUCCGGGGUACGACAAGGGCUUUCUGUGCGUCACAUGUGGCUGUCCUGUGGCAGGCUAUGGCCAGACUUUUCCUGCGGGUAAAACCUAAUCAAAUGAUCAGCUGCAGAUAAUAUCAAGACCUCUGUUUGACACGUUAAUAGUGACAGACAUACUUCCACAAUUAAUAUGGUGGGAAAAAAACACUCGAGUCACCAGACUUGGGAUGAGAGGUCUCGUAUUCACAUAAACACAACCUGACGUCACUGCUUGUCACCGCAAACUGUUUUGUUCUCCAAGAAUGCCUUUGUGCUCACCCUCUGAUCUUGCUUCUCUACAUAACAACUUUCUUGUUUAUAUGCCCUUUGGCAAGUGCAGCAAGCACUAUUUCCUGUUUCUAAACUUGUAGACAACAAUCCAUACAUCUCAUAGUUGUCAAUUUUAACCAGAUAACAGCAGAACUUUGAUGCUGCUUUUUAAUCUUUAGCUUAGGUUAACAAGACCCUGGAAGAAACGUUGAUUUAUUUGAUAGAGCAUUUUUAAUUAAUUUGGCUAAUUCCAUGUGAUUCAAAA